GAGGGUAUAUCUCAGUGGUUAAGUAUGUGCUCAGCAUGCACGAGGUCCUGGGUUCAAUCCCCAGCACCUUCA
rnacentral:tRNA from 1 species